GAUGAACGCUAGCGGCAGGCCUAAUACAUGCAAGUCGGACGGGAUUGAGGAGCUUGCUUCUCAUGAGAGUGGCGCACGGGUGCGUAACACGUAUGUAACCUACCUUAGUCAGGGGGAUAGCCUCUCGAAAGAGAGAUUAACACCGCAUAACAUUAAGUUGUGGCAUCACAGUUUAAUCAAAUAUUUAUAGGACUAAGAUGGGCAUGCGGAACAUUAGCUAGUUAGUAAGGUAACGGCUUACCAAGGCAACGAAGUUUAGGGGAUCUGAGAGGAUGACCCCCCACACUGGUACUGAGACACGGACCAGACUCCUACGGGAGGCAGCAGUAAGGAAUAUUGGUCAAUGGACGCAAGUCUGAACCAGCCAUGCCGCGUGCAGGAAGACGGCCCUACGGGUUGUAAACUGCUUUUGUACCGGAAUAAACCUUUUCACGUGUGAGAAGCUGAAUGUACGGUAAGAAUAAGGAUCGGCUAACUCCGUGCCAGCAGCCGCCGUAA
rnacentral:rRNA from 1 species